rnacentral:snRNA from 1 species
GUGCUCGCUUCGGCAGCACAUACACUAAAACUGGAACGAUACGGAGAAGAUUAGCAUGGCCCCUGCACAAGGAUGAUACGCAAAUUCGUGAAGCGUUCCGUGUUUUU